rnacentral:rRNA from 1 species
CGGGGGCCUGCGAUCUUUUAUUGGGCGUAUCGCGAGCCCGGGUGUAGAAAAGUCUGAAGUGAAAGGCAGUGGUUCAACCAUUGUAGGCUUUGGAAACUGUUUAACUUGAGUGCAGAAGGGGAGAGUGGAAUUCCAUGUGUAGCGGUGAAAUGCGUAGAUAUAUGGAGGAACACCGGUGGCGUAAGCGGCUCUCUGGUCUGUAACUGACGCUGAGGCUCGAAAGCGUGGGGAGCGAACAGGAUUAGAUACCCUGGCAGUCCACGCCGUAAACGAUGAGUGCUAGGUGUUAGCUCCUUUCCGGGAUGUAGCGCCGCAGCUCACGCAUUAAGAACUCCGCCUGAUGUGUACGACCGCAAGUUGGAAACUCAAAGCAAUUGACGGUCGCCCGCACAAGCGGGGAUCAUGUGGUUCACUCGGAGUGAGCGGGAGCACCUUACUUGUCUUGACAUCCCACUGACCGCCCGUAGAGAUAGGUUUCACUUCGGACACUGAUGACAGGUGCUGCAUGCCUGUAGUCAGCUCAUGUCGUGGAGAUGAUGGGUUACGUCCCCGCAUCGAGCGCACUCUUAUCGUGAGCUGCCCAUCAUUGAGUCGGGCACUCUAGCGAGACUGCCGCCAAUAAACCGGUGUCACGCUCGGGGAUGACGUCAAUCAUCAUGCCUCUUUAUCGACUGAGCUAGACAUCGUGCUACAUCGGCUGGUACAACAGUCGCAAGCUGCGACGCAAGCUAUCUCUGCAGCCAGUCUCAGUCGGAUGUAGCAGCAACUCGCUACAUGUAGCGGAUAAUAGAUCC